rnacentral:rRNA from 1 species
UACGUAGGGCCCGAGCGUUGUCCGGAAUUAUUGGGCGUAAAGGGCUCGUAGGCGGUUUGUCGCGUCGGGAGUGAAAACACCGGGCUUAACUCGGUGCUUGCUUUCGAUACGGGCAGACUGGAGGCAUGCAGGGGAGAACGGAAUUCCUGGUGUAGCGGUGAAAUGCGCAGAUAUCAGGAGGAACACCGGUGGCGAAGGCGGUUCUCUGGGCAUGUCCUGACGCUGAGGAGCGAAAGUGUGGGGAGCGAACAGG